UGCCUAAUACAUGCAAGUCGAGCGAAUGACGAAGAAGCUUGCUUCUUCUGAUUUAGCGGCGGACGGGUGAGUAACACGUGGGCAACCUGCCCUGUAGAUUGGGAUAACUCCGGGAAACCGGGGCUAAUACCGAAUAAUCCAUUUCCUCACAUGGGGAGAUGUUAAAAGACGGUUUCGGCUGUCACUACAGGAUGGGCCCGCGGCGCAUUAACUAGUUGGUGAGGUAACGGCUCACCAAGGCGACGAUGCGUAGCCGACCUGAGAGGGUGAUCGGCCACACUGGGACUGAAACACGGCCCAGACUCCUACGGGAGGCAGCAGUAGGGAAUCUUCCACAAUGGACGAAAGUCUGAUGGAACAAUGCCGCGUGAGUGAAGAAGGGUUUCGGAUCGUAAAACUCUGUUGUGAGGGAAGAACAAGUAAGAAAGUAACUGCUCGUACCUUGACGGUACCUCAUUAAAAAGCCACGGCUAACUACGUGCCAGCAGCCGCGGUAAUACGUAAGUGGCAAGCGUUGUCCGGAAUUAUUGGGCGUAAAGCGCGCGCAGGCGGUCCUUUAAGUCUGAUGUGAAAUCCCACGGCUCAACCGUGGAAAGGCAUUGGAAACUGGGGGACUUGAGUACAGAAGAAGAAAGCGGAAUUCCAAGUGUAGCGGUGAAAUGCGUAGAGAUUUGGAAGAACACCAGUGGCGAAAGCGGCUUUCUGGUCUGUAACUGACGCUGAAGCGCGAAAGCGUGGGGAGCAACAGGAUUAGAUACCCUGGUAGUCCACGCCGUAACGAUGAGUGCUAAGUGUUAGGGGUUUCCGCCCCUUAGUGCUGCAGCUAAGCAUUAACACUCCGCCUGGGGAGUACGGUCGCAGACUGAACUCAAAGGAAUUGACGGGGGCCC
rnacentral:rRNA from 1 species